AGAGUUUGAUUAUGGCUCAGAUUGAACGCUGGCGGCGUGCUUAACACAUGCAAGUCGAACGCGAACGUUCCUUCGGGAACUAGUAGAGUGGCGCACGGGUGAGUAACGCGUGGAUAAUCUGCCUCUAUGAUGGGGAUAACAGUUGGAAACGACUGCUAAUACCGAAUACGCUCAUAAAUAACUUUAUGAGGAAAGACGGCCUCUGCUUGUAAGCUGUCGCAUAGAGAUGAGUCCGCGUCCCAUUAGCUGGUUGGCGGGGUAACGGCCCACCAAGGCGACGAUGGGUAGCCGAUCUGAGAGGAUGAUCGGCCACACUGGAACUGAAACACGGUCCAG
rnacentral:rRNA from 1 species